rnacentral:lncRNA from 1 species
GUUGAGUAAGACAAAGAUAGAAUAUGAUAAUGCAACGUUUACCUCUUUGUUUUCUAAAGUUUUAUAUUUUUAGUAGUGAAGCAUACAAUUUACGUGGCAAUGAUUAAGAUAAUAAUAUAGUUAUUAAUCAUAUAGAGCUGUGUAAUUAGUUUUAAAUAAUAUCAAAUUACGACAUCAAAUUUUCAUUAUAAACAUAUUGCACACCUUAACUCAUCAUCCUGGGAUUGAAAAAUCGUUAUUUUUGCUUUUCCUAUUAUACAUUAAAUUAAAAGUAGUACGGUCGACUAUUCUUUUGUAGGAUAAGCCGAUAGGUUGAAUUGAUAAA